UACAGAGGUGGCAAGCGUUGUUCGGAAUUACUGGGCGUAAAGGAGCGCGUAGGCGGUCUUGUAAGUCUUGUGUGAAAUCCCUCGGCUUAACUGAGGAACUGCACGAGAUACUGCAAGACUUGAGAUCGGGAGAGGGAAGCGGAAUUCCGGGUGUAGCGGUGAAAUGCGUAGAUAUCCGGAGGAACACCGGUGGCGAAGGCGGCUUCCUGGACCGAUACUGACGCUGAGGCGCGAAAGCUAGGGGGAGCAAACGGG
rnacentral:rRNA from 1 species